rnacentral:rRNA from 1 species
UGGAGGCAGCAGUAAGGAAUUUUGCGCAAUGGGCGAAAGCCUGACGCAGCAACGCCGCGUGCGGGAUGAAGGCCUUCGGGUUGUAAACCGCUUUCAGCAGGGAUGAAACUGACAGUACCUGCAGAAGAAGCCCCGGCUAACUACGUGCCAGCAGCCGCGGUAAUACGUAGGGGGCAAGCGUUAUCCGGAUUCAUUGGGCGUAAAGAGCGCGUAGGCGGCUUGUUAAGUCAGAUGUGAAAACCGGGGGCUCAACCCGCGGCCUGCAUCUGAAACUGGCAGGCUUGAGUCUGGUAGAGGAAAGUGGAAUUCCCAGUGUAGCGGUGAAAUGCGCAGAUAUUGGGAGGAACACCAGUGGCGAAGGCGGCUUUCUGGGCCACGACUGACGCUGAGGCGCGAAAGCUAGGGGAGCGAACAGGAUUAGAUACCCCGGUAGUCCG